UUCCUUCCUUUGGAAGGUAAUCUUGAUUGCACAUACAUUUCAACUAUAUCUUUAAUGUCAUCACGUGGUUCGCCUCCAAUGGAAUCAAACCAAUAGAUUUC